AGGUGGACAGGGCCUUCAGCUAGUGGUGGGGCAUACAGAGGGGCCACAGGAAGAAACGGAACGACCCCAGACCCGAAGCAGGUGGCAGAGGUGGAGGGGCGUUCCCUUCGGUGGCCUCCGCGGGAGUCCGCAGAAUCUGGGAGCCUCUGGCUUCCCACAAGUCCCUCCUCGGCUCUGGGCGCUAUAUUGUUCGCCUCGCAGUGCCGGCCAAACCGGCUGGCACCCGGCAGGUCACCCAGAGGGAGCCAGAGGGCCCCCCGUGAGGGGGCCCUUGAGGCUGUGCCCGGCCGCGUGUGUGGGACCCGGUGUAAGCUCCAGUUGGGACUGGAGAGCUCCAGAGCGCGACCGCGCGGAACCGCUGGAGCUGGGCAGGAGGGGGCCAAGCGUGGACUUUGCCUUGGCCUGGGUCCCGGGGAGGGCUGGAGAUCGUCCUGGCUGAGAGGGGGCAGGGAAGGAGGAGACAGUGCACCUGAGGUCCUUCUCUGCCCUUCCCUACUUUACCUGCUGCACAUGCUCUAGAAAUGAGAAGUACUUUCUGGAAGUUACAAAAGUGUUACCCAGAGACCAGCUCUUCUGUGGACCAGUCCCAGAAGAAGAAAGCUAGGGUGAGUCCUUCAUUUUAUUAUGACACAGAAAACAAUGAGGUGAUUGUUUCUGA
rnacentral:lncRNA from 1 species